GACGAACGCUGGCGGCGUGCUUAACACAUGCAAGUCGAACGGAAAGGCCCUGCUUUUGUGGGUUGCUCGAGUGGCGAACGGGUGAGUAACACGUGAGUAACCUGCCCUUGCCUUUGGGAUAACUUCAGGAAACUGGGGCUAAUACCGGAUAGGAGUUCCUCCUGCUUGGUGGGGGUUGGAAAGUUUCGGCGGUUGGGGAUGGACUCGCGGCUUAUCAGCUUGUUGGUGGGGUAGUGGCUUACCAAGGCUUUGACGGGUAGCCGGCCUGAGAGGGUGACCGGCCACAUUGGGACUGAGAUACGGCCCAGACUCCUACGGGAGGCAGCAGUGGGGAAUAUUGCACAAUGGGCGGAAGCCUGAUGCAGCAACGCCGCGUGCGGGAUGACGGCCUUCGGGUUGUAAACCGCUUUCGCCUGUGACGAAGCGUGAGUGACGGUAAUGGGUAAAGAAGCACCGGCUAACUACGUG
rnacentral:rRNA from 1 species